UGGAGCAUGUGGUUUAUUCGAUGCAACGCGAAGAACCUUACUGGUCUUGACAUCCACAGAACUUUCCAGAGAUGGAUUGGUGCCUUCGGGAACUGUGAGACAGGUGCUGCAUGGCUGUCGUCAGCUCGUGUUGUGAAAUGUUGGGUUAAGUCCCGCAACGAGCGCAACCCUUAUCCUUUGUUGCCAGCGGUCCGGCCGGGAACUCAAAGGAGACUGCCAGUGAUAAACUGGAGGAAGGUGGGGAUGACGUCAAGUCAUCAUGGCCCUUACGACCAGGGCUACACACGUGCUACAAUGGCGCAUACAAAGAGAAGCGACCUCGCGAGAGCAAGCGGACCUCAUAAAGUGCGUCGUAGUCCGGAUUGGAGUCUGCAACUCGACUCCAUGAAGUCGGAAUCGCUAGUAAUCGUAGAUCAGAAUGCUACGGUGAAUACGUUCCCGGGCCUUGUACACACCGCCCGUCACACCAUGGGAGUGGGUUGCAAAAGAAGUAGGUAGCUUAACCUUCGGGAGGGCGCUUACCACUUUGUGAUUCAUGACUGGGGUGAAGUCGUAACAAGGUAACCA
rnacentral:rRNA from 1 species